GCCAGAUGCUCCACGUCUCUCGCUCCACGAUACUUUAAAAUUCGAGACGUGAAAAAAACACUGCAGCAGACACUUAUGAGACAUAUUCAAACUAUACAUAUAUCAAUAUUUAUAUUCCGUCUAAGAAUAAUACCUCCAUCUUUUGACCUUCUACAAUGUUCGUCAGUAAUAUUUUAUGAACACAAAUUUAUGAAUUUAUUCGUUCACUUGAGAAAUAAACAUUCAGAAGUAUUAACAGAAAAACAGUACAGUGAUUAUAACAUUUAUUGGGAAUGGGAUUAUUAUACUCCAAUAACAUGCAUUAGGGCAAUGUGCAUAUGUUGUAAAAUAAUAAAUUCUACAAUGAAUAAUUUAUCGAAACAUCUUGAUACACACAGGAACGAUUAUACAAUUUUCAAUCCGAAGCCAAACAUUGAUAUGGAUGACGCAAGCAGCAGUCCAACCGGCAGUAUGACUGUAAAGGAUGCGUAACAUCAGGAAGCUUCAAUACCAAUUCUUCUAAUUUGACUGAUAACACGGUUAGAUCAGUUGUUCCUAACGAGUAAUUAUUCACUUUAAAUUUAUUUAAAUGCCUGCUAACAGAUCUUACGAAUCAAUUUAUAUUUCUUUUCCUUUCCAAAUAUAAUCUA